GAAUAAUCUGGCAGCGGAUGAAUUGUUUUGUCAAAAGCAAAUCGUGCGUUUGAAUGUUCGAUUGCUACUGGACUAUAUCGUCGAUCCUUGUACUGCGACUUGCAAGAUCAAAGCACAUACGGCAGCAGGAAAUCAUGCAGUGUUUCCAUUCAGCUACCACCUACAAUGCUAUAUUGACUAAAGUGAUAGUAUCAUCCAUGCUUUUAA